AUUUUUUCAGGAGAAUAAGGGAACCUCUAAGCCCAGGUACGAUUGUGUGGUACCUGGAUGCGGUGCCACAAGCUUGGUCCGCAUCGACAUGCAUCUGCAUAGACGUCAUGGAUUUACUACUGGCAGCGCUGAAUACAAAAAAUUCAGACAGCUGCAGACACAGAUGCAGCAAGAAAAAUGAUGGUAAACCAGUGAUCGCCGAAUUCCAGGCAUAUCUUAAAGAUACCCUGCAUAUGCCAGGAAAGCAGGCUAGCCAAGUGGUGAGGGAGGUGGAAGGCAUCUUGG
rnacentral:lncRNA from 1 species